AUUGAACGCUGGCGGAAUGCUUUACACAUGCAAGUCGAGCGGCAGCGCGGGGCAACCUGGCGGCGAGCGGCGAACGGGUGAGUAAUACAUCGGAACGUGCCCAGACGUGGGGGAUAACUACUCGAAAGAGUGGCUAAUACCGCAUACGAUCUAAGGAUGAAAGCGGGGGAUCGCAAGACCUCGCGCGUUUGGAGCGGCCGAUGGCAGAUUAGGUAGUUGGUGGGGUAAAGGCUUACCAAGCCCGCGAUCUGUAGCUGGUCUGAGAGGAUGAUCAGCCACACUGGGACUGAGACACGGCCCAGACUCCUACGGGAGGCAGCAGUGGGGAAUUUUGGACAAUGGGCGAAAGCCUGAUCCAGCCAUUCCGCGUGCAGGAUGAAGGCCCUCGGGUUGUAAACUGCUUUGUACAGAACGAAAAGCUACUUUCUAAUACAGAGAGUCCAUGACGGUACUGUAAGAAUAAGCACCGGCUGACUACGUGCCAGCAGCCGACGG
rnacentral:rRNA from 1 species